ACGACCUUACUUGAACAUGAUCUGUUCUAUAGGCUCGUACCGAUGCAUCCUUUACCAAUAAGGAGGCAAGCACUCAAGUCUGGUUGAUGACCUGUGACCUCUGGGCCAAAGCGGGAUUAACGGCCAGGAUUCAUCUGAUGUAUCCGAUGGCUGUAGACGAUCGUUCCUGCC
rnacentral:snoRNA from 1 species